rnacentral:lncRNA from 10 species
AUCUGGGAGGGGACACAGACAAAUCAUAUCAACUUGCAAGCCAGCCAUCGUGGCUGUCCUGUCUAGCUGAGAUUCUGCUGACUGUAAGUACAGAAGACGUCUGACUGCGAUCAUGUACUAGACCCCAGUGAGUGUUCAGCUGAGCCUUCCCUGUAUUCCUGACCCACAAAAUGAGCAAGUCUUAUGGCCAAGCUUAAAGUCAAUGGGACAGAGAAGGAAGCAUGCUCUCCCAGUGAAGCCCUGGCACAGUGAAGGGAAUAAGUGGAAGAACUGUGAGUAUAUAAUGUCUCCUGCCACAUUGCCCUUCCUUUCUCCAGGGUGGCAACAGAGCAGAAAAGAGGGGUAAGUAUGGAGGAAGGAAAUAGCCGGCUCCCACAGGAGCUCCUCCAUCUGCCUCAUUUGUGAGAGCUUGUUUGGCCUCAUUUGUAGAGGUGCUCUACCACUCACACAGAGGAAGAAAAGCCAUUCUCUCUUGUAGCCACCUCCAAGUGUUUGUGAUGAGGGACAAAUGACUCAGGGGCCAUCCAGAACUCUAGAAUUCACCAGAAGCCUCCAAUCUCGCUUGC